UUUAUUUAUUUUAAAAAAUUUUCACAGUUUUAUAAUAAUGAAUAUAAAAAAACAACUUCCGUUAGAGAAAAUGUAUUUUUCUAUCAGUUUUUCUGUGAAAUCAAUAGCAUUGAAAAGCCAAACGAAGUAUUUUCUAUGACUUCACAGUAGAAGAAAUAUAUCUUCAAUAAUAAUUUUGCAAAAUUUUCAUUAUAAUUUAAGUAAAUUUUAAAGAAAUAACGUCAUACUAGAAUUUUUGAUAAAUUAUUAAUAAAAUUCUAAAAAAGGAUAUUAUUAUUUUAAUGAACAAAAUAAUAAUUCGAUAAAAAAUUAUUUAUAGUGCAGGAUUUACGUAUAAGCUACACAAGCUAUAUAGCUUAGGGCCCCCUUACAUGGCGGCCCCCGAAAAAAAUUGUCCGAGUGAGCAAUUGUCAUAUAUACUUAAAUAUACUGGCAGUAUAUUUAAGUAUAUAUUAUACUGCAGCCUUUUAAAAGAACUUUUGUUUCUUUUUACCAGAGUUUGCAUUUUUCAAUUUGUUAUGAAUAAAAAUGAUUUUAAGUUAAAGAUUUAUUAUUUCACUAUCUAUAUAAUUCUUAAUUGUAUUUCAGUUUAACCCUCUAGGUAUCCGAAAAUCAUAUUUGGCACUGACGUAUAAUAUAUGGACUUAUAAAGGGCCCCAUAUCUCAAAUAGCUUAGGGCCUUAUCAAGUCUAAAUCCAGUGCUAGCCAUCAUCAGCUCUAUUCAAACAAAAUAAACAUUGCAUUAAUUUACAAGUUAUUCUAGAACAUUAGAUUUUUAAUUUAAAAUUAUAAAUUGUAUAAGCAAGUACAAAAUGAAAUUAAGAUAAAAUAAAAUAAAAUAAAACCAAAUGUAAGAAUAUUACAAAUAAUUAUUAGAAACAUUAUUUAAAACAUAAGCUUAACUAAUAUAUUUCUCUGUGGGGGAUUCUUCAUUAGUUUCCAUAUUCCUAAUUCCCCAUUUUAGCCUAAGUCUUUUUAAUCGCAGCUGGGCUUCUUAGGUCAUAGAAGUGUGUGCUAAAGUCUUGCAUCGGAAUUAUUAGGUGCUGAUUUGGUUUGUGUUCAAUAGAUAUUUUCACGGCUUUUGUAUAGAGUCCAAUUGUCUGUCAUUGGCAAUUAAAGCUUCCUGGGUGCCCUUAUACGUUUAUAGAACCUCAGCUGUGGGUAGAUGGAGGCUGCAAGCACUACUCGGAUUGAUAAGGUGUUUAUUUUCUGAAAUUUUGUAGUGGUCUGCUCAUUAGUGCUUAUAGUGUUUGGAUCUUGAAGAUUAUAUACUGCUUAGAGCAGUAAAUAUUAAUGCAU
rnacentral:lncRNA from 1 species